ensembl:lncRNA
AUGCAGUCCAUCGCCCUGAUCAGAUGCGCCGUUCCGCAAUCUCCGAGGUUCGAGUGUGUUUUCCUGAAGGUGGGAGCCCGAGACAGCUUGGGGAUUCUGCUGGUGUACCGUCCACCCCGCGACCCAGCAGUCUCUCUGUCUGAGCUAGCAGAAGUGGUCUCCAAUGCGGCCCUUGGCUCCCAACAACUGAUAGUGUUGGGAGACUUUAACAUUCAUGCUGAGACCACAUUGACAGGAGCAGCUCAGGAUUUCAUGGUUGCCAUGACAACCAUGGGGCUGUCUCAAAUUAUAUCUGGGCCCACACAUCAGGCAGGACACACCUUGGACCUUGUUUUUAUUGUGGACGGUGGGACAGUCAGAGUGGAAGAGCAAAACAUUCUUCCAUUGUCAUGGUCUGACCAUCAUCUGAUCUGUUUAAGUAUCGCCGUGUCUUCUAACCUCCGCAGGGGUGGUGGACCCAUUAAGAUGGUCCGCCCCAGGAGACUGAUGGAUCCGGAUGGACUUCUGAGGUCUCUUGGGGAUCUUCCUGCCUUGGAGACUGGCGAUCCUGUCGAUGCCCUGGCUGAUCGCUAUAAUAGGGAGUUGGCAAGGGCACUGGACACGAUCGCUCCCGAACGUCCUCUCUCGCUACGUAGAGCCACGUCGACUCCUUGGUUCACUGAGGAGCUGGCCGUGAUGAAGCGUGCGCGGAGGGGACUAGAGUGCAUCUGGAGGAAAUCUCAGGAUGUGUCUGACCAAGCACGGGCUAAAGCCGCUAUUAGGGCUUACUCCGUGGCUUUGCGAGCAGCCAGGAAAGCUUUCACGACUGCCCGCAUAGCGUCUGCGGCCAAUAGGCCAUCGGAGUUGUUCCGAGUUGUUGGGGAGCUCCUGCGGCCUCCUGAGGCACAGGGGCUUCCCAAUGACUCGGCAACUAGGUGCAGCGAUUUCGCUCACCAUUUUGCAGGCAAAGUUGCUCAGAUACGCCUUGAGCUAGACUCCAGUUUAAUUGUAGUUCCAGAGGAGGUAACCGAGGUACCUGUCUGUUCGAUCUCAUGGGAUUCUUUCCGGCUUGUUCUUCCUGAUGACGUGGAGGGGAUUCUUGGGUCUGUGAGGGCGACCACCUGCGCUCUGGAUCCUUGCCCCUCCUGGUUGGUCAAGCUGGCCAAAGAUGGGUUGUUGGAUUGGUUUGUGACCAUAAUAAAUGCCUCUUUGGUUCAGGGGUCAGUUCCAUCCUGCUUUAAGCAGGCGGUAGUAAAACCACUAUUAAAAAAGCCCUCGCUUGAUCCAUCUAUUUGUAACAACUACAGACCAAUUUCCAACCUCCCAUUUUUGGGCAAGGUGCUGGAGCGGGUGGUUGCCAAGCAGCUCCAGGAGUUUCUCGAUGACACUGAUUUUCUGGACUGCUCGCAGUCUGGCUUCAGGCCUGGGCACAGUACCGAGACGGCUUUGGUCGCCUUGGUGGAUGACCUCCGCAGAGAGCUGGACAGGGGGAGUGUGACCCUGCUGGUUCUCUUGGACAUCUCAGCGGCUUUCGAUACCAUCGACCAUGGUAUCCUUCUGGGGAGGCUCUCUGGGAUGGGGCUUGGUGGCACUGUGCUGCAGUGGCUCCGGUCCUUCCUGGGGGGUCGUUCCCAGAUGGUGAAGUUGGGGGACUCCUGCUCGGACCCCUGGCCAUUGACCUGUGGGGUCCCGCAGGGGUCUAUUCUAUCCCCCCAUGCUAUUCAACAUCUACAUGAAACCGCUGGGAGAGGUCAUCCGGAGUUUUGGAGGGCGUUGCCAUCUCUACGCAGAUGA